GGAGGCUGCUUCUGGCACCACCAGUUGCCCAAGGGCCAACAGCCCAGCACAAAACCCCCUAUGAAGCUUAAGAUAAGAGACACCGCUGCAGGGAAGGAAGAAAAAACCUAACAGGAAGCCAAGCUUUGUGGAGCAAGGCUGGACACAAGCUGGUUGGUGCAUUUGGCAGACCUGGGAUCUGUGACACCACACGGUGUGGAUUCCAGCUCCAAAAUACAAGCCCCAUCCAGCUACUCUACCCCAUCUCCACUACCACCGCUCCCGUCUCGGCUACCAUCACCCACUGUCUGGACACCUGUGGUGAUCACACCGACUCCAGCUCCCAUAUGUUCUCCGCGCAGCAGUCAGAGUGAUUUGAAAAAUGUCAAUCAGAUCAUGUUUCUCCCCCUGAGGACUUUGUAAUGGCUUUCAAGUAGACUUAGGAUAAAACUCCGAAUUCCAUGUUACAGCCUACAAGGCUUCCAUGAUGAAUUUAUUUGUGUUGUUCAUGUCCUCCCCCUCCCCCCAGCAGACAGGAAGCUGCAGGAGGACGAGGACAGGGCCAUUUUUACUCACCUCUCAAUUCAUAACUCCUUGCACAUAGGCACUCAGUAAAUAUCUGUGGGUCUAACUAACUCACGUGCU